rnacentral:rRNA from 1 species
GACGAACGCUGGCGGCGUGCUUAACACAUGCAAGUCGAACGGAAAGGCCCUGCUUUUGUGGGGUGCUCGAGUGGCGAACGGGUGAGUAACACGUGAGUAACCUGCCCUUGACUUUGGGAUAACUUCAGGAAACUGGGGCUAAUACCGGAUAGGAGCUCCUGCUGCAUGGUGGGGGUCGGAAAGUUUCGGCGGUUGGGGAUGGACUCGCGGCUUAUCAGCUUGUUGGUGGGGUAGUGGCUUACCAAGGCUUUGACGGGUAGCCGGCCUGAGAGGGUGACCGGCCACAUUGGGACUGAGAUACGGCCCAGACUCCUACGGGAGGCAGCUGUGGGGAAUAUUGCACAAUGGGCGGAAGCCUGAUGCAGCAACGCCGCGUGCGGGAUGACGGCCUUCGGGUUGUAAACCGCUUUCGCCUGUGACGAAGCGUGAGUGACGGUAAUGGGUAAAGAAGCACCGGCUAACUACGUG